rnacentral:tRNA from 1 species
GGCUCGGUAGCUUAGUUGGUAAAGCGCUCGUCUAGCAUACAAGAGUCCUGGAUUCGAAUCCCAGCCGAGCAC